rnacentral:rRNA from 1 species
GACGAACGCUGGCGGCGUGCCUAAUACAUGCAAGUAGAACGCACAGUUUAUACCGUAGCUUGCUACACCAUAGACUGUGAGUUGCGAACGGGUGAGUAACGCGUAGGUAACCUGCCUGGUAGCGGGGGAUAACUAUUGGAAACGAUAGCUAAUACCGCAUAAUAUUGAUUAUUGCAUGAUAAUUGAUUGAAAGAUGCUAUUGCAUCACUACCAGAUGGACCUGCGUUGUAUUAGCUAGUAGGUGAGGUAACGGCUCACCUAGGCGACGAUACAUAGCCGACCUGGGAGGGUGAUCGGCCACACUGGGACUGAGACACGGCCCAGACUCCUACGGGAGGCAGCAGUAGGGAAUCUUCGGCAAUGGACGAAAGUCUGACCGAGCAACGCCGCGUGAGGGAAGAAGGUUUUCGGAUCGUAAAGCUCUGUUGUAAGAGAAGAACGGGUGUGAGAGUGGAAAGUUCACACUGUGACGGUAUCUUACCAGAAAGGGACGGCUAACUACGUG